GACGGGGGGUGCAAGCGUUGUUCGGAAUCAUUGGGCGUAAAGCGCGUGCAGGUGGCUUUAUAAGUCAGAUGUGAAAGCCUAGGGCUUAACCCUAGAAGUGCAUUUGAAACUGUAUAGCUUGAGUAUGGAAGAGGGUCGUGGAAUUCCAGGUGUAGUGGUGAAAUACGUAGAUAUCUGGAGGAACACCGGUGGCGAAGGCGGCGACCUGGUCCAAUACUGACACUCAUACGCGAAAGCGUGGGGAUCAAACAGG
rnacentral:rRNA from 1 species